rnacentral:rRNA from 1 species
AGUGGGGGAGUAACCUAGCCGAAAGGUUAGCUAAUACCGCAUACGUCUCCGAGGGGCAUCCCUUGGCGAUAAAAGGAGCAAUCCGCUCGAUGACGGGACCGCGUCCCAUUAGCUAGAUGGUGGGGUAACGGCCUACCAUGGCACCGAUGGGUAGCUGGUUUGAGAGAGCGACCAGCCACACUGGGACUGAGAAACGGCCCAG